rnacentral:rRNA from 1 species
UUGAACGCUGGCGGCAGGCCUAACACAUGCAAGUCGAGCGGAUGAAGGGAGCUUGCUCCUGGAUUCAGCGGCGGACGGGUGAGUAAUGCCUAGGAAUCUGCCUGGUAGUGGGGGAUAACGUCCGGAAACGGGCGCUAAUACCGCAUACGUCCUGAGGGAGAAAGUGGGGGAUCUUCGGACCUCACGCUAUCAGAUGAGCCUAGGUCGGAUUAGCUAGUUGGUGGGGUAAAGGCCUACCAAGGCGACGAUCCGUAACUGGUCUGAGAGGAUGAUCAGUCACACUGGAACGGAGACACGGUCCAGACUCCUACGGGGGGCAGCGGGGGGGAAUAUUGGAAAAUGGGCGAAAGCCUGAUCCAGCCAUGCCGGGGGGGUGAAGAAGGUCUUCGGAUUGUAAAGCACUUUAAGUUGGGGGGAAGGGCAGUAAGUUAAACCCUUGUUGUUUUGACUUUACCAACAGAAUAAGCCCCGGCUAACUUCGU